GACGGCCCAUCCUUACACAGCUGUGAUUGGACAUCGGCAGCCAUUGAUGUCCUAGCGACACGUCUUGGUCCCGGUGCCAACUGGCAGGUGUUGUGGUUGGUCCGGGCUUGCCGAUGGUGGCUAAGAGGAGCUCCUGAUUCCUGGAGGAAUGACAAAGCCUGGGACUUGGCCUCCAUCUGGACAGAGCAGCUAGAACAGGUCCUGGAGGGCACCCAUCUGUAUCCAACCAAGGGGUCCAAGGGAUUCAGUGCCCAGCACAGCCUGUCAGGACCCAUCUGGAUACUGCCACCCUCCUCCCCUGGCCUAGUUCCAGCUUGCCAACAAUCCACAGGGCCAGGACCCCAGGAGAGCCCAGUGGCAAGGACCACUUACCUGCUGAGUAGGGAUCUGACUUGUGGUGCCGGGGUGAAGGAUGAUGCUGGAUGACUUGCUGAGGUUUGGCAG